GUGAGGAAUAUUGGUCAAUGGACGAGAGUCUGAACCAGCCAAGUCGCGUGAAGGAAGACGGUUCUAUGAAUUGUAAACUUCUUUUGUGCAGGAAUAAAGUGGGUUACGUGUAACCUUUUGUAUGUACUGUACGAAUAAGGAUCGGCUAACUCCGUGCCAGCAGCCGCGGUAAUACGGAGGAUCCGAGCGUUAUCCGGAGUUAUUGGGUUUAAAGGGUGCGUAGGUGGAUUGAUAAGUCAGCGGUGAAAGUUUGCAGCUUAACUGUAAAAUUGCCGUUGAAACUGUCGGUCUUGAGUGCAAAUGAGGUAGGCGGAAUGUGUUGUGUAGCGGUGAAAUGCUUAGAUAUAACACAGAACACCGAUUGCGAAGGCAGCUUACUGGGAUGCAACUGACGCUCAUGCACGAAAGCGUGGGGAUCAAACAGGAUUAGAAACCCUGGUAGUCC
rnacentral:rRNA from 1 species